GACGAACGCUGGCGGUGUGCUUAACACAUGCAAGUCGAACGGAAAGGCCCUGCUUUUGUGGGGUGCUCGAGUGGCGAACGGGUGAGUAACACGUGAGUAACCUGCCCUUGACUUUGGGAUAACUUCAGGAAACUGGGGCUAAUACCGGAUAGGAGCUCCUGCUGCAUGGUGGGGGUUGGAAAGUUUCGGCGGUUGGGGAUGGACUCGCGGCUUAUCAGCUUGUUGGUGGGGUAGUGGCUUACCAAGGCUUUGACGGGUAGCCGGCCUGAGAGGGUGACCGGCCACAUUGGGACUGAGAUACGGCCCAGACUCCUACGGGAGGCAGCAGUGGGGAAUAUUGCACAAUGGGCGGAAGCCUGAUGCAGCAACGCCGCGUGCUGGAUGACGGCCUUCGGGUUGUAAACCGCUUUCGCCUGUGACGAAGCGUGAGUGACGGUAAUGGGUAAAGAAGCACCGGCUAACUACGUG
rnacentral:rRNA from 1 species